ACUAACAAGGAUUCCCCUAGUAGCUGCGAGCGAACAGGGAGGAGCCCAGCACCGAAUCCUGCGCGCCGAAGAGCGCGUCUGGAAAUGUGGUGUUUGGGAGGAUCCGGUCAUCUCGUGAGAGUACGCCAGUCCAAGUCCAUCUUGAAAGCGGCCACAGCCCACAGAGGGUGCCAGGCCCGUAGGACGGCGGUGCGACUCGAUCGAAAGGAUCUCUAGAGUUCAAGAGUACGUGAAACCGUUCGGGGGUAAACGGGCGAAAUCUGGAAAAUCGAACGGAGAGAUUCAAGCCCAACUCGCCCGUGCGUUGCACGGCGGCCGCCGAUGGCGGCGGGGCGCCCGCGCGUUGCCGCAAGGCGCGCCGGUGUCGUUCCCGUCGUCCACGCGCCGCGUCGUCGUGCUCGCCGGCGUCGGGCCGCACUUCUCUCCCGGUAGUACGUCGCGACCCGUUGGGCGUCUGUCCAAGGCCCGCGCGUGGAGCCGGUCGUCGCCGCGUCGCGGCGCGCGGGGUUAAUCCCUCGCGCGUCUCCGCGACCGCGCGGCCGACCGCUGCGGUGUCCCGGCAGGCUCGCCCGACGNNNNNNNNNNNNNNNNNNNNNNNNNNNNNNNNNNNNNNNNNNNNNNNNNNUCUUGAAGCACGGACCAAGGAGUCUAACAUGUGCGCGAGUCAUUGGGACCGCACUAAACCUAAAGGCGUAACGAAAGUGAAGGCGCUCGGCGCGUCCGGUCUCGGCCGGUCGCGUCGUCGCCGAGGGGGGAUUCGACCCGUCCACGGCGACGCGGACGACGCACCCCCGCGGCGUCUCGUUGUCAUCGCGACACAGCAGGCGCACGCUGAGCGUACACGUUGGGACCCGAAAGAUGGUGAACUAUGCCUGGUCAGCUGGCACUCGGAGUUUUCUGGAGCGGCGCGACGGCGCCUCGCGCGCCCCGCGUCGCACGUAACCAGUCUCAUCUGGUAAAGCGAAUGAUUAGAGGCCUUGGGGCCGAAACGACCUCAACCUAUUCUCAAACUUUAAAUGGGUGAGACAUUCGACUUGCUCGAAUAACGCAUUAUGAUGAAGUCGAAGACACAUAAAAGAUGAGCGGAUGAACGAGCGGCCAAGUGGGCCAAUUUUGGUAAGCAGAACUGGUGCUGUGGGAUGAACCAAACGUCGAGUUAAGGCGCCUAAAUCGAUGCUCAUGGGAUACCAUGAAAGGCGUUGGUUGCUUACGUCGUUGAUGUGCUGUCGAAUAAUAAUUGCCAGAACUGUUAUGACCACAUCGGGCGAAAGGGAAUCCGGUUUCUAUUCCGGAACCCGGCUGCGGAACCGACCAUGCGGGCCAAUGUCGCAGCGAUGCGGCAACUCGUCGGGGUAACCCAAAAGGACCCGGAGACGCCGUCGGAUGAUCGAGGCAGAGUUUUCUGUUCUGUAUGAGCGUUCGAGUUCCCUGGAAGCGCCUAGCGCGGAGAUAGGGUUUGGAACGCGAAGAGCACCGCACUUGCGGCGGUGUCUCGAUCUAUCCCUCGGACCUUGAAAAUCCGGGAGAGGGCCACGUGGAGGUGUCGCGCCGGUUCGUACCGAUAUCCGCAGCUGGUCUCCAAGGUCAGGAGCCUCUAGUCGAUAGAA
rnacentral:rRNA from 1 species